rnacentral:rRNA from 1 species
AUGCCUAACACAUGCAAGUCGAACGAGAUCUUCGGAUCUAGUGGCGCACGGGUGAGUAACACGUGGGCAACCUGCCUGUAAGACUGGGAUAACUUCGGGAAACCGAAGCUAAUACCGGAUAGGAUCUUCUCCUUCAUGGGAGAUGAUUGAAAGAUGGUUUCGGCUAUCACUUACAGAUGGGCCCGCGGUGCAUUAGCUAGUUGGUGAGGUAACGGCUCACCAAGGCAACGAUGCAUAGCCGACCUGAGAGGGUGAUCGGCCACACUGGGACUGAGACACGGCCCAGACUCCUACGGGAGGCAGCA